CGCCGUUUCCACGUCAACCCCAGCGCGAUUCAGCGGGGGAAGAAAACAGGCCAGCUCUACCCAGCACCUCUCCCCCCGAUCCGAUCGGAUCCGAGCCGCCUGACCCCGGCUCCCGUCGUACACGGCCUUUUGUCUAGGCCACCAGCAAGGACUCGACACGCAGCUCCACAAAUAACUCCGGAUCUGGGUCAUCUCACACAGCCUUUCCCUGCGAGCGGCCACCAGCCCCGCGCUCCACGGGCGGCUGUUUGCACGGAGGUGUCUGGGAGCGGGACGUGCAAGGGCGAGUGAAUCAUCCCUUCAGCAGGUUCCUGGGAGCAGCAAGCAGCCAGACAACACCUCACAUGCCCAGCUAUUUUUGGUCCCCAGAGAGAAUAAAAAUCACCUCUCCCCCAGCCCUGCACACAGAGAUGUGAAACCCAUAACCAAGAUCUCUGUCAGAUUAUUAGGAAAAACAAAGUCAGCGAGAGAAGUGGCACAGCCGAGCCCCAGGCACCGGAGCAGACAGUAACAAGGAGUCCUUGUUUGAUGAGACUAAUGCCCCCGAGAUCCAUCACCAGCUGAUUGUCCCUUUGGAGGGGGAGAGGCCAAAGACCUGGCAACACUUUGGGACUCAGUCCAUCUUUAAGUUGCUUGUUUCACCCAUGGGACCAUCUCUCCAUGUCCUCAGCCUUUAAAAUCAGUGACUGGCUUACGAGAAGCAAAAGGCAUCUGAGAGGCUCAAAGAAAGACACAGUCAGCUGUUUACUGCCCCUCAGAAAUGGCAACUGUCCCUGUUCGGGAAUUAGCUGUUACAUAAACAGGAUGCGGAUUCGGUUAGGGUUUGUGCUGUUAUUGGUUGGCACCUCCACUCCUCGGAGCAGAGAGCUGGGAAACGCCCAAGCAACACUUAACAGCACGGAGAGUUUCUCGAACAAAGGAAGAAGAACAAGGGAAGCAAGGUUUAGUUCCACAAAUAGAUCAGCUUCCUCCAAACGGUGCCAGAAAGACAGCAGGGUUUUCAUUUAAGUGGCUCUUUGCCCUAAGCUUAAGCAAAGUGUGUGUGUCAAAUACCAGCUAAAAAGUAGAAUCUACCUCUUACCUGACGUAUUUGGAGAGCGGAGGCUUCAGGUUGUGCGUGGUCGAUAUCCCUGAGGAAAUGUACCUGUCUCUUCUUCUCUCGAUACGACGCACGUUCACAAAGUCCCUAAGCAAAGGAAGGGCACUGACUGCUUUAAAACGCGCGCAGGACUUUGAUGGAGCAGAUCAGACACUCCGGACCGCUGGGAGAGGCUGUAGCGGAGGUGUGUCAACACGUGGACAAAACGGAGCCUAGCACUGCCGUCGGGGAGAUGGGCUAAGGGACCCCGGCAGAUUCUGAGCUCCGAGAUUCCUGACGGAAACCUCUGGAGGUCACUUUGGGGGCUCCUUGCCUUUGGGAGCGUCACCCGCCCCGCCAGCCCACCCCGCCUCUGACACUGGGGCAGCCCCCACGGCACAGUGGCACCGCUGGGGCAGAGCGCUCUCACGACCGUCAGAUGCUUCUCUCCGUAUUUUAGGAUGAUGCUCAGGGGCUCAGUACAAAACAGAGGAAUAAACCGACCUGGGAGAAACAACACCGCCUGCGGCCCCAGCUGCUACGUCGUACGAGACGAUCGUAUUGUCUUCAACCUGCUGCAGGAUCUGAAAGAAAAGAGAUUUCCUCAGACUGUACCUGCAGCUCAGCACGGAGAUAAAGACCCUCCCUCAAAACAGCACCAGGGCUCAAAGCAGCCAGAGCACCUUUAAUAGCUGAUCUGAGGCUCCGGGGCCGGAGGGAGAGCUCUCUGCGGGCGCACGCUGCGUUUGUCCCCCGGCCCAGGGCUGGCCCCUCCGAGGAGGGCACAGGCGCUGCCUUCGGAUCCCUGCCACGCCAACAGCACGAAACGCCCAAACCGUACCGAGCACGAGCAGCCUUGGCGCAGCCGCUGGCCCGUCUCCCUGCCCACCUCAUGGGCUUUUGGAUGGGCACAUCCAUGCAGCUGGCUACCGCAGAGCGUUCGGAUCGUACGGAUGAACGGCAGAGAUUUAACGCCUCAGCGACUCAGAUCCAGCUAAGCUCCAGUAGGGCCUGGGCACCACCGACAGCCGGUGUUGGACUGGGAAGCUCCAGCUCUCCGCUCCAAGGAGCUCCUGUGAUUAAGCCAUCUUUGUCCGGCACGCUCACCUGGCAAGCUGCCACUGUUCUGUUCCACAGGAUCAUCUUCUCAGGCUGGAGAAUAACCUCCUGGUAAACUGUUUCAGCAGAGCACUGCAGGAAAGCCUGAGGACAGAGCCAGAGCAGUUAGCCAGUCCCCUGCUCCCCUUCGUUAAGAUUAUUUUUAAGGAGCGCAGGACAGAUCACAAAGAACUGGGAUAAAAGAGGCGGGGAGCAGCGAGCCUGGCCUGGCUCGAGCAUGUACAGAGCCAAGGUUGCUUCCUCAGCUCCUCUUUACCCCGAGCUGGGCUGCCCCACUGCCACAGUGCUCGUAUUCCCAGGGACCUCAGCUUUAGGCAAACGAUAAACUGCUGCCUGCCGCGACCUGUGCAGCGUGCUGGGUGGAAGGGCUGUUACGGCAGGUACAAGAAGGAGCAAGCACUGGUCUGUAACGUGCCGAGCCAGACAGACCUUGGGGCCGACCCAGGCUGGCUCUUCUCCUACCCUCAUCCCAGUUUAUCAGCAAUUCUGGUGUGUGCAAUCGCUCUGGCAAGUUGUUGGAAAGCUACCCUGAGCUUCAGCAUAGGCAACGUUCAUUCCUCCACAUCCCCGUGGGACAGAGGAUCUUCAGAGGCGAAUGGUUAAUGCAGUAAAGUGGGACCAUCCAGCUUUUCCUCUCGAAUAGAGCUGCUCCACUGGCAGCUCCUGCCAGCAAGGCAACAUAUGCACUGGAACAAAGAAAAGCCACCGCAGCACCGAUGCUUCAUUAAAGCAUGGUUUACAGCCAAGCCACUCCAGCGAGAGGGCACGGAGCGAGGCACUUCCGAGCAGCUCUUCUCAAUGCCAGGCAGCAGCAGACGCACUCUCAGCCCUGGUCUUGCUGGCAAUUAGUUGCAAUUAGCCUCCUUGGUCAGAUUAGUCCUAGAUGCUGGGGUUGGAAGCGAGUCUCACAGUCACCUGCUCCCACUUCUACCAGCAGAGACGGGGGCCCAGCAUAUUUGCUGGGGAGGUUGUCUGCCAGCCAAAGGGUUUUCCUGGAGAGAGUCCCUAGAGCGUGCAGUGUCGUUCAUCUGCUUCGAGCACAGAGAAUGUGCUUUGCAGACUGACCUGUCCUGCCAGAGCCAGGACAGAGCGUGAAGCCUCAACUGAAUUGUGGUUCCAAGCAGAGCAGUCAGUUUUUGCCUGUACCGCACAGAUUAAGGAAUUGAUUCAGAAAGGUUCUUACCUUUAAAAUAAAGGUCUUGCCAUGGAAA